rnacentral:tRNA from 1 species
GGAGAGAUGGCUCAAUGGUUAAGAGCACUGAUUGCUCUUGAAGAGGACCCUGGGUUCAGUUCCCAGCACUCCA